rnacentral:rRNA from 1 species
UACGUAGGGUGCGAGCGUUAAUCGGAAUUACUGGGCGUAAAGCGUGCGCAGGCGGCGCGUUAAGACAGGUGUGAAAGCCCCGAGCUUAACUUGGGAAUUGCGCUUGUGACUGGCGUGCUGGAGUGUGGCAGAGGGAGGUGGAAUUCCACGUGUAGCAGUGAAAUGCGUAGAGAUGUGGAGGAACACCGAUGGCGAAGGCAGCCCCCUGGGCUAAGAUUGACGCUCAUGCACGAAAGCGUGGGGAGCAAACAGG